AUACGGAGGGUGCAAGCGUUAAUCGGAAUUACUGGGCGUAAAGCGUACGUAGGCGGUCCGUUAAGUUAGAUGUGAAAGCCCCGGGCUUAACCUGGGAACUGCAUUUAAAACUGGCGGACUAGAGUUGAGUAGAGGGGAGUGGAAUUUCAAGUGUAGCGGUGAAAUGCGUAGAGAUCUGAAGGAACACCAGUGGCGAAGGCGACUCCCUGGACUCGAACUGACGCUGAGGUACGAAAGCGUGGGUAGCAAACGGGAUUAGAAACCCCGGUAGUCC
rnacentral:rRNA from 1 species